rnacentral:tRNA from 1 species
AGAUUGGUGGUUCAGUGGUAGAAUUCUUGCCUUCCAUGCAGGAGACCUGGGUUCAAUUCCCAGCCAAUGCA